UACGUAGGGUGCAAGCGUUAAUCGGAAUUACUGGGCGUAAAGCGUGCGCAGGCGGUUUUUUAAGACAGAUGUGAAAUCCCCGGGCUCAACCUGGGAACUGCAUUUGUGACUGUAGAGCUGGAGUACGGCAGAGGGGGAUGGAAUUCCGCGUGUAGCAGUGAAAUGCGUAGAUAUGCGGAGGAACACCGAUGGCGAAGGCAAUCCCCUGGGCCUGUACUGACGCUCAUGCACGAAAGCGUGGGGAGCAAACAGG
rnacentral:rRNA from 1 species